rnacentral:rRNA from 1 species
CCCUUAGAUGUUCUGGGCCGCACGCGCGCUACACUGAUGCAUUCAACGAGUCCAACCCUGACCGAGAGGUCCGGGUAAUCUUUGAAACUGCAUCGUGAUGGGGCUAGAUUAUUGCAAUUAUUAAUCUUCAACGAGGAAUGCCUAGUAAGCGUGAUUCAUCAAAUCGCGUUGAUUACGUCCCUGCCCUUUGUACACACCGCCCGUCGCUCCUACCGAUUGAGUGUGUUGGUGAGGAGUUUGGAUUGGCCUCGGAAGGUGGUUCGCCACCGUCCGUAGCUGAGAAGUUCUCCAAACCGCCCCACUUAGAGGAAGGAGAAGUCGUAACA